UACCUGGUUGAUCAUGCCAGUAGUCAUAUGCUUGCCUCAAAGAUUAAUCCAUGCAUGUCUAAGUAUGAACUAAUUCAGACUGUGAAACUGCGGAUGGCUCAUUAAAUAAGUUAUAGUUUCUUUGAUGGUACCCUACUACUCAGAUAACCGUAGUAAUUCUAGAGCUAAUACAUGCACCAAGUCCCGACUCUUUAGAAGGGAUGCAUUUAUUAGAUAAAAGGCUGGUGCGGGCUUGCCCGCUUCUCCGGUUAAUCAUGAUAACUCGAUGGAUUGCACAACCCUUGUGUUGGUGAUGCUUCAUUCAAAUUUUUUCCCUAUUCGAUGGUAGGAUAGAGGCCUACCAUGGCGGUGACAGGUGACGGAGAAUUAGGGUUCGAUUCCGGAGUGGGAACCUGAGAAAUUGCUACCACAUCUAAGGAAGGCAGCAGGCGCACAAAUUACCCAAUCUUGACAUGGGGAGGUAGUGACAAUAAAUAACAAUACUGGGCUCAUCGAGUCUGGUAAUUGGAAUGAGUACAAUCUAAAUCCCUUAACGAGGAUCCAUUGGAGGACAAGUCUAGUGCCAGUAGCCACGGUAAUUCCAGCUUCAAUAGCAUAUAUUUAAGUUUUUGCAGUUAAAAAUCUCGUAGUUGGAUCUUGGGUCAUAAAGGUUGGUCUGCCUACUUGGUGUGCACCUGCCCUUCCGUCCCUUUUGCCAGUGGCGUGCUCCUGGCCUUAAUUGGCUGGGCCACGGUUCCGACGUUGUUACUUUGAAAAAAUUAGAGUGCUCAAAGAAAGCUUAUGCUCUGAAUACAUUAGCAUAGAAUAACGCGAUAGGAAUCUGGUCCUAUUGUGUUGGCCUUCGAGACCGGAGUAAUGAUUAAUAGGGACUGUCGGGGGCAUUCAUAGUUCAUUAUCAGAGGUGAAAUUGUUGGAUUUAUGAAAGACAAACCAUUGUGAAAG
rfam:Picea glauca, whole genome shotgun sequence.